UAUAGGUUAGUAAGUUGAGCCCAAAUGAUGUCAGUAUUAAUUAUGACACCCACAAGCGGAACACUAUUCAGAUGACGGAAACCUUCAUAUUUCGGGGGUGGUGUAGGCAUACAGUGACUUAGAUCAGAUGAGUCAAUUCUGAAGAUGAAAACAAAUAAGAUGGUAUUUUGUAGGCACUGGUUGUACGAUUGUGAAGUUUCACUUCCCUAGCUCCACAGUUUGAUAUGUUUUUAAUCCAAAUAUCUAUAUCUGAAUAGAGAUGAAGAGGCAGAUCAUUAGGAUUGCAAAGAAUAAACUUCAAUAUGAGACCUCCACGAGAUAAAAGAAUACUGCUGCCGGUUAUUGAAAAUUCAUAUAGUUUAGUUUCUCUAAUUCUGAAAGGAAACCUCUGAGAAAGCCGGUUGAAGAAAAGGUCAUCAAAAACUAGGUGUGAGUGCAUUUCCCAUAUACCCCUCUAUGUUUUUGAGAGAAUGCUCAUUCUUGCUACACAGUCAACCGGCAAUCACUUUUGAAUUAGGUCUAGUAAGUCACUGGGCAUGUCACUUUUGAAUUAGACCUUAUUCUAAAGCGAUUGCCGGUUGACUGUAUUGCAAGAAUGUGCAUUCUCUCAAAAACAUGGAGGGGUAAAUGGGAAAUGCACCCACACCUAGUUUUUGAUGACUAGGUCAUCAAAAACUAGGUGUGAGUGCAUUUCCCAUUUACCCCUCUAUGUUUUUGAGAGAAUGCUCAUUCUUGCUACACAGUCAACCGGCAAUCACUUUUGAAUUAGGUCUAGUAAGUCACUGGGCAUGUCACUUUUGAAUUAGACCUUAUUCUAAAGCGAUUGCCGGUUGACUGUAUUGCAAGAAUGUGCAUUCUCUCAAAAACAUGGAGGGGUAAAUGGGAAAUGCACCCACACCUAGUUUUUGAUGACUUUUUCUUCAACCGGCUUUCUGAGAGGUUUCCUUCCAGAAGUAGAGAAACUAAACUAUAUGAAUUUUCAAGAACCGUCAGCAGUAAUCUUUUAUCUCGUAGUGGUCUCAUAUUGAAGUUUGUUCUUUGCAUUACUCAUGAUUUGUUUCUUCAUCUCUAUUUAGAUAUUUGGAUAAAAAACAUAACAAACAAUGGAGUUAGGGAAGUGCAACUUCAUAAUCGUACAUUGAGUGCCUACAAAAUACCAUCUUAUUUGUUUUCCGGUUCAGAGUUGACUCAUUUGAUUCUAAGUUGUAUGCUCACACCACCCUAGAAAUUUGAAGACUUCCGUAAUCUGAUUACUGUUUUGCUUGUGGGUGUCAUAAUUACAACUGACAUUUCAUUUGGGGCUCAACUUAUUGACCUACAUUUGCAAGGUUGCAUUGGGAUGUCAAUAUAAAUAUUAUAUCAAUCUCACUUUUCUGAGUAUUAGCCAUUGUGAUGUAAUUGGAUCAAAUUUCUUGUAUAUAAUCCCAUGUGAAGCAAACACAUGAAUUUAGCUCUAUACAUUUCAGGCCUGGUUCUCAUUUCUAUGUAUACAACUUGGAUAGUUUUAUGAUUAAUAUGCUCGAUAUGAUUUUAAUAAAUGUUAUCCAAACUAAUUGCCUCUAGUUGGUAAUGAUGUAAUUCGAUUUUCAUAGGUUGUUUUUGAUAUCAAUAAUCAAAUUUUUUAGAUAUGUGCAACAGAUCACUGUGAAUAUAUGCGUAACAGGUCAGUGUGAAGUGUAAUAAGUGUGAGUGAAGUAUGUUUAAAUUUAUAACUCAAAUCCAAUGAUUUAAUUGCUAAUUUGAGAAUGGAAUGGUACUGUUUAUGUCAAGUGUUCAUUUUCUUCUUAUUUGUGUACAACUUUAAUAACAUGUCAGAAUGCUAUUAAGUACUAUUCCACCAGUCCAAGAGUAAUUCCUUUUCCUUAGAAUUUUCGAUAGCUUCUUGGGGGCGUAGAAGGCUUAUUAAUAUACAGAUUUUGUUAAGUAUAAGCUCAAUAGAAGUAGUCCGGUGUUAAGUAAAUUCCUUGUCAUCAUGUACAUACGGGGUUGUUCCAAAUUGUGCAACAUAGGACUAAAAAGAACUUUUUCUUUGAGGUAAUUACCUUCACGCUCAAGGUUCUCUUAUUUGCCAGAAGAAAAUAAUAAUAAGAGUUCCGCGAUGAAAAAUUCCCAUGUCAUAAUAGAUUGCUCCGCUCGUAAGGUUUGAAAUCAAAUGUUCAAUCACACUACAACGUUGCAUAUAUAGGUUAGUAAGUUGAGCGCAAAUGAUGUCAGUAUUAAUUAUGACACCCACAAGCGGAACACUAUUCAGAUUACGGAAACCUUCAUAUUUCGGGGGUGGUGUAGGCAUACAGUGACUUAGAUCAGAUGAGUCAAUUCUGAACAUGAAAACAAAUAAGAUGGUAUUUUGUAGGCACUGGUUGUACGAUUGUGAAGUUUCACUUCCCUAACUCCACAGUUUGAUAUGUUUUUAAUCCAAAUAUCUAUAUCUGAAUAGAGAUGAAGAGGCAGAUCAUUAGGAUUGCAAAGAAUAAACUUCAAUAUGAGACCUCCACGAGAUAAAAGAAUACUGCUGCCGGUUAUUGAAAAUUCAUAAAGUAAGUUUAGUUUCUCUAAUUCUGAAAGGAAACCUCUGAGAAAGCCGGUUGAAGAAAAGGUCAUCAAAAACUAGGUGUGAGUGCAUUUCCCAUUUACCCCUCUAUUUUUUUGAGAGAAUGCUCAUUCUUGCUACACAGUCAACCGGCAAUCACUUUUGAAUUAGGUAUAGUAAGUCACUGGGCAUGUCACUUUUGAAUUAGACCUUAUUCUAAAGCGAUUGCCGGUUGACUGUAUUGCAAGAAUGUGCAUUCUCUCAAAAACAUGGAGAGGUAAAUGAGAAAUGCACCCACACCUAGUUUUUGAUGACCUUUUCUUCAACCGGCUUUCUGAGAGGUUUCCUUCGAGAAGUAUAGAAACUAAACUAUAUGAAUUUUCAAGAACCGUCAGCAGUAAUCUUUUAUCUCAUAGUGGUCUCAUAUUGAAGUUUGUUCUUUGCAUUACUCAUGAUUUGUUUCUUCAUCUCUAUUUAGAUAUAGAUAUUUGGAUUAAAAACAUAUCAAACAAUGGAGUUAGGGAAGUGCAACUUCAUAAUCGUACAUUGAGUGCCUACAAAAUACCAUCUUAUUUGUUUUCCGGUUCAGAGUUGACUCAUUUUCCAUAAUUUAAUUAGUGUUUCACUUGUGGGUGUCAUAAUUACUACUGCCAUAUCAUUUGGGGCAAAACUUAUGGACCUACAUUUACAACGUUCAUCAUUUGCGUACUAAUGUCUUCUGUUAACCUUGUAUGUAGGAACCUGAUGUGAAGUGGUAGUAUGUUAUGCACAAGGUGGAAACCUGGGAACGUAUGGUGUCAUCGGUUACACAAUAUUUGCAAUCACUACACUUGAUUGGCAUGGCUUUUGACCAACUCGAAACUGUGGAAUUAUAUGGAGUGAAUCUUUCGUUUGAACUUCAGUCCAUAAAGCUUUUGCUUGCAUCUUCUCCUUCGCUUAAAUUGAUGAGAAUUUAUUACAUGAUUCAUGACCAUGAAGAAGCGUUCAGGGUUUCGCAAGAGUUAAUGAGGUUCGCUCGAGCAUCCCAACUGCAGAGAUUAUAUGGAAGUAACUAGACGUAUUGGUAGGUUUGAUUUGGAAGUUAACGUUGAACCAUAUGAACUCCUUGGGAUUGUUUAUUUUGUGGUUGCGGAAUCAGACCCCUCUUCGUGGCUCUAGAACUUGAGAUCUUUUUUCUGGAUUUAUUAUGUUUAAUUUCAAUGACAGCAAAGUUUUUAGUAUACUUAUAUAUUCUGGGUUUAUUUAAGUUUUUGGUUUAAUGGCGUUCAUGUUUAGAGUUCCGUAAACUGGAGGCCACACAUGUAGUCAUGGUUGCUCCUCUAUUUGGCAAUCAUAUUUUAGGUGCUCUCUUGAGUGUAAUUGUUUAUUUGUUUGUCAUAUUUUGAUGGUUUAACUCUGACUGUCCUUCCUCGAAACUAAAAUGCCUUGAACUAGCAGUCACUCUUGUUUUCGGAAGUCGGAGUGUUGCUCUGUUUGACCCACCCUGUUCUGUACUUUUUCCGAUCUUGGGUGUUGCUUUGUUUGCGCCCCAUUGUUACAAGCAUCAGGUCCUUACGGAAGAGGAAGUGCUUAUCUAAAAGCUGAACAUUUGUCUUCACUGAUGGAAGUUUCUCUCUUUGUAUGCUGUUUAUUCUGGAACAGCUAUAUAGAAUAGCACAUUUACUGACAUUACUUUGAAAUUCUCUUAUCCUUUUCUUGGUAUGUUUAAACCCCUAUGGAAGUCUUUAUUAUUUUCACGAAAUGGUUGAUUGCAGAAAUUUUAAUGCACGUCUCUCCCUGGGAUUUGAACAUGCAACCCUCACAGUUUUACACAAAAAAUAUUCACUACGCCACUAAGAAGUCUCCUUUGGUACUAUUUAUUUGGAAUAUCAGUUUUGUCAUUUCAGUUUCUCGAAAGAAAAAACAUAUCUACUUGCCAUGUUUCUUAUAUGUAAAUCUUGCCUGCUAUUUGCUCAUGUGUUGGUAGUUGUGGACCAAUUUGACGGGUCUUGAGUUUAACUGUCACAAUUUUCAAAAAAAAAGUUCUCAGAUAUUAUUGCGGGAGAAGAUGAUCAUCACCUACCACCUUACAAUCCAAAACAUUAGAUUGCGCAUCGUUUAUCCUCUUUUUCUUCUUAACCAUCUAUUGUUUUAAGACCUAAACGCUAUUUCAUGUAGAUUUUUUCAGGUGGAUGCAUUCACAGAAUCAGCGUUCAAGGGAAACCCAGCUGCAGUUUGUUUGUUAGAAGAGGAAAAAGAUGAGAAAUGGCUACAAUUGGUGGCCACUGAGUUCAAUCUCUCCGAGACAUGUUUCUUGACUAGGAUUGACUUGGAUUCGCCUAAUCCCAGGUUUCACCUCACAUGGUUCACUCCUGUUGCUGAGGUUCACUUGCUCUUGAUUCUUGUCUGUUUUUUGGGGUUUUAUGAUUCCCCGGGUGUCGAAUUCUGGUCUUGGGUAUUGGGUUUGUGUAAAAAUUUGAUCUUUUUGGUGGUAGCGGUCUUGAAUUGAAUUUGUGUAUUGGGGUUGCUUAAAGAUUUGAUCUCUUUGGUGUUAGCAGUCUUGAAUUUAACAUGGGGCAAUAUAAAGUUGAUUUAGACAUUCAAGCGGACGUAAUAACAAAUAAGUAUGAUAUGCAUAUUAAAUCCCUUUGUUACUGAGGUUCAGUUACUAUUGAGUCUUGUCCAUCUUUUUUGGUUUUUGUGAUUCCCCGGAUGUCUAAUUUUGAUCUCGUUAGUAGCUCAUUUAUUUGUGUAUUGGGUUUACGUAAAGAUUUGAUCUUUUUGGUGUUACUGGUCUUGAAUUUGAAUUUGGACAAAAUAAAGUGAUUUAAAAAAGUUAGUUUGGAGUUUGGACACUCAAGCUGAAUAUUCCCGCAAAGAUGGCUUUUCGAGUAAAUUAAGUAUGAUAUACAUAUUAAACCGCUUUAGUAAUAAUUUAAAAUUCUAGUGGAGUUGGUAACUUGAUAGAUAUUAUGAACGUUCAAUAUGUUAUUGCUUUGCUCAUGUAAUAGGUAAAGCAUGAACAACCAUGUCUUUUUUUAAUCAUGCCAUAUCACUGCUACUUUGUCAGUUGUCAUUUUAAUUGAAUGUUGAAUAAAACAUGCAUUAUUAGACUAUGUUUUAUUGGAUAGCCACAGGUGGUGGUUGCUUUAUCUUCCCAUCUGAAACGGGUCUAAGCAAUCAUAUGUGUGAUAUCUAAAACUGAUGAAGAUAGUGGCUUUCUUUAUAUCAAAUUUACCAAUUGCUGGAUAAGUCAUUCGUAGCCGGCUUUUUAUAGUUUACGAAGACUUGCUAGUUUUCAUCUCUAUGCAUAAUGUCUGCUUACAGGUUAAACUUUGUGGCCAUGCAACUUUGGCGGCAUCCCACUUCAUCUUCUCAUCUGGUUUGGUGAAAGUGAAUGUGAUCGAGUUCAUGACACUGUCUGGAGUUUUGACUGCUAGGAGUGUUUCAAUGCCUGAAGUUUCUGUAUUAUCACAGUUGAAAAGUGAUGGUUUCUGUACAGAGUUGGAUUUUCCUGUCGUGCCACUGGUUGAAUAUACUUCUGCUGAGGUGUCUAACAUUUCACAAAGUUUAAAUGGCGCCUCUAUUGUUGACAUCAAGAAAAGGUCUACAGAAAAGGACUACAGAAGAUGACCUCCUUGUAUGUGUUUGGCUUUGCUCUAACAUUUUGUUAAUAUCAUUACCAUGUGGAUACAUUCUUUUUGGAAAUUGUUUAUGAUGGGGCUAACAUAUCUUAACAGUGAAAUGUUAUAUACUACUGCCAUUGUUUCUUGCUUUGGAAAAGUUAAUAUUUUGUAUCUGAGGAAUGUAAAAGUCAUCUAAAAAUGCAGGUUGUGCUCUCAGCUGGAAAGACUGUUGCAGAAUUACAGCCGAUGUUUGAAAAGAUACAGAAACUUCCUUGCAGAGGAAUGACAGUAACAGCGCUUGCUCCCUCUGAAUCUGGGUUUGACAUAUACAGCCGCUUCUUUUAUCCUAAAUAUGGGAUUAAGGAGGUAAACAUUAAUCUAAAUAUCAGGAUUCAUUUAUAAUUUUCGAAACCUUUGGAGUUUUCUCAUAGUCUUGCUACACUUGGUAUGUGGUAGUGUCUUCAUAACCUGUCUACCUUCCGGAUACAUUCUUGUCUUUCUUUUCUUAUGUGUAGAAUUCGGAUAUUCCAUUUGUCCUCCACCCGCCUUUCAUUAUAGUUCAUUUGCUAGAUUAUUUGUAUAAUGUUGAAUACAAAACUAAAUUUAAAUUGUCUAUCCUUAGCCUCCUUGCUGCUUAUUGUCUGUGGAUAUACAGGCACGCGCUGUUUUAAGGGUGAAAUUUAGUUGAAUCCGGGUUUUCAAUAGGGGUGCUAGUUUUUAUGUCUUCCCCUAUAGACUAUAGUUACAGGCACCAGGUAAUUAACUAAAGAAAGAGCUUAUCUAAAAGUUGAACAUCUGUCCUGAGUGCUGGGACUUGAUACAAUCGGUAACCUCUUUAAUGCGUGCAAUUUUAUUUCAGGAUCCUGUCACAGGCAGUGCACAUUGUGCCUUGGCACCCUAUUGGUGCCAAAAGCUGGGAAAAAGUGAUCUUGUUGCAUAUCAGGUGAUUGUCCUUAGUGCUCACUGCUCACUCUCUCUGCCUAAUUCUAUCAAAUGUGUAUGCACACACUGAUUUGAUAUUUGAUCCAUUUGGAGCUUGUUCAUUAAACUCACUAUUCAACUUUGUGAUGUAGUAUUUCGUGAAUUCAGGCAUCAACUAGAGGUGGCUUCAUAAGAUUACAUCUAGAUGAGAGGAAUCAAAGGGUAAUGCUCCAAGGGAAAGCUGUUACUGUGAUGGAAGGUUCUCUCCUAGUUUAAAUAUGGAGGUAUUCCUAGAAUGCCUAAAAUGAACCGGGAGCUAUUCAUAAUUAAAACAUCAGAAUCUUAAGAUCAUUAUAUUGUGUCUGUAACAGUUUACUUAACAAGUUUUUAUAGCUAUUUCUUGAUGAACACUAUUUUCUUAAAUGUGUUGUUGAUAUGUGUUUCGUGCUAAUGAUUAUUGAUAAGUAGUACUUUUAUAGUUCUCUUAGAUAUAUUGCUUGCAAUUAUCUAGUUGAUUAAUUAUUGCAGUUGUGUUCACUCUUCAGAGUCACUGAAACCAAAUUGAGUUGGUAAUCUGUUUGUUGGCCUGACAAGUAACAUAAGUGAGUAUUUAUAAGUCAUUUUAUUCAACAAGUUCAAUAUAUCUAUUGCGAAGUAUUGUGCAAAGUAUGGAAAUUCGUAAAUAAUACUGGCAAAAUUGUGCCAAUAUUAUUUAGAUCACCUAACUUCACUUACGACCGAAAGAAAGCGUUGAUGAUUAUAUUCUUGCCAAGAUUCAUAUAUUUUUGCUGAUUGUAUACUAGCUUUUAGAAUAUGAAUUGAUAUUGAUUUUAAAUUAUAUUUAAUAAUUGGGAUUUCAUUUAAAAUGAUAGUAUAAAUUUGAUUGGGGUGACUGAAAAUUUUCGAUAUUUAUGACUAUUUAAAUUUGGAAGGUUAAUUUUGAAUAUUUAGAAAUUAUUUCAAGAAUUUACUCCGAUAGUCCUAUGUAAAAUGUGUCAGUUCCGUUUUGCAUAUAUUAAGACUUAUGUCAAAUGUAAUUAUAAAAGAGUUUUUGUAUUAUUAUAUUUUGGUAGUUAAUUUUUAUAGCUAACAAAUUUCAAAAAUAUAUAUUAUUUACACAUACAUCUUCAGAACAUAUUAAAAUAACUAGUAAGCUGCUCCAGAGCUCUUCAUCCCAAACAUGACGACGACUAGGAAAGAGGAAAAAAAAAUUCCAGUUCACAUUUCGAACCUGCUGGACAAGUAAGUUUUCUUUUAAUUUUCAAACAUGGAUUAACUUCUUAUUCAUUCAUUUACUUUUGUAAUGUAAUUGGAUCAAAUUUCUUGUAUAUAAUCCCAUGUGAAGCAAACACAUGAAUUUAGCUCUAUACAUUUCAGGCCUGGUUCUCAUUUCUAUGUAUACAACUUGGAUAGUUUUAUGAUUAAUAUGCUCGAUAUAAUACCAUGAUCUGAUAUUGCGUUUGUUGGAUGUUUAAUAAAUGUUAUCCAAACUAAUUGCCUCUAGUUGGUAAUGAUGUAAUUCGAUUUUCAUAGGUUGUUUUUGAUAUCAAUAAUCAAAUUUUUUAGAUAUGUGCAACAGAUCACUGUGAAUAUAUACGUAACAGGUCAGUGUGAAGUGUAAUAAGUAUGAGUGAAGUAUAUUUGAAUUUAUAACUCAAAUCCAAUGAUUUUAAUUGCUAAUUUGAGAAUGGAAUGGUACUGUUUAUGUCAAGUGUUCAUUUUCUUCUUAUUUGUGUACAACUUUAAUAACAUGUCAGAAUGCUAUUUAGUAUUAUUCCACCAGUCCAGGAGUAAUUCCUUUUCCUUAAAAUUUUCGAUAACUUCCCGGGGGCGUAGAAGGCUUAUUAAUAUAUAGAUUUUGUUAAGUAUCAACUCAAUAGAAGUAGUCCGGUGUUAAGUAAAUUCCUUGUCAUCAUGUACAUACGGGGUUGUUCCAAAUUGUGCAACAUAGGACUAAAAAGAACUUUUUCUUUGAGCUAAUUACCUUCACGCACAAGGUUCUCUUAUUUGCCAGAAGAAAAUAAUAAGAGUUCCUUGAUGAAAAAUUCCCAUGUCAUAAUCGAUUGCUCCGCUCGUAAGGUUUGAAACCAAAUGUUCAAUCACACUACAACGUUGCAUAUAUAGGUUAGUAAGUUGAGCCCAAAUAAUGUCGGUAUUAAUUAUGACACCCACAAGCGAAACACUAAUCAGGUUACGGAAACCUUCAUAUUUCGGGGGUGGUGUAGGCAUACAGUGACUUAGAUCAGAUGAGUCAAUUCUGAACAUGAAAACAAAUAAGAUGGUAUUUUGUAGGCACUGGAUGUACGAUUAUGAAGUUUCACUUCCUUAACUCCACUGUUUGAUAUGUUUUUAAUCCAAAUAUCUAUAUCUGAAUAGAGAUGAAGAGGCAGAUCAUUAGGAUUGCAAAGAAUAAACUUCAAUAUGAGACCUCCACGAGAUAAAAGAAUACUGCUUCCGGUUAUUGAAAAUUCAUAUAGUUUAGUUUCUCUACUUCUGAAAGGAAACCUUUGAGAAAGCCGGUUGAAGAAGAGGUCAUCAAAAACUAGGUGUGAGUGCAUUUCCCAUUUACCCCUCCAUGUUUUUAAGAGAAUGCUCAUUCUUGCUACACAGUCAACCGGCAAUCACUUUUGAAUUAGGUCUAGUGAGUCACUGGGAAUGUCACUUUUGAAUUAGACCUUCUUCUAAAGUGAUUGCCGGUUGACUGUGUAGACAUUCUCUCAAAAACAUGGAGGGGUAAAUGAGAAAUGCACCAACACCUAGUUUUUGAUGACCUUUUCUUCAACCGGCUUUCUCAGAGGUUUCCUUCCAGAAGUAGAGAAACUAAACUAUAUGAAUUCUCAAGAACCGUCAGCAGUAGUCUUUUAUUUCGUAGUGGUCUAAUAUUGAAGUUUGUUCUUUGCAUUCCUCAUGAUUUGUUUCUUCAUCUCUAUUUAGAUAUAGAUAUUUGGAUGAAAAACAUAACAAACAAUGGAGUUAGGGAAGUGCAACUUCAUAAUCGUACAUUGAGUGCAUACAAAAUACCAUCUUAUUUGUUUUCCUGUUCAGAGUUGACUCAUUUGAUUCUAAGUUGUUGUAUGUUCACACAACCCCGGAAAUUUGAAGACUUCCGUAAUCUGAUUACUGUUUUGCUUGUGGGUGUCAUAAUUACAACUGACAUAACAUUUGGGGCUCAACUUACUGACCUACAUUUGCAACGUUGCAUUGGGAUUGAACAUUUGGGAUGUCAAUAUAAAUAUUAUAUCAAUCUCACUUUUCUGAGUAUCACCCAUUGUGGGGAAAUUGAUGGGCAAUGGUUUGGAUGCACCCGAAAGGUGAUUGAUUCUGUUCUCAUGUUAUAUGGAGCGGCAAAGAGCAUUGUGGAUUUGGAAGAGCUAGUUGACAAUAUGCCUAGAAUCCGUACUCUUCAUCUUGAUGGCUCUUUUCUUAAGGUAAUUAAAGUGAACCUCGUAAUCUCUCGUAAUGAGACUGGUGAGAUCUAAUUCCCGAAAUUCUGUUUUUGUUAUAGUUUUUUCUACUGGGUAUGAAAGACUUGCGGUCCUCUCUGUAAGUGAUAAUCACAUUCCACCCACUCUGGCUUAGAUUCUGCCUUGUUUUUCUUUCACUUAUUCUCCAGCUAUAUUUGUUCCUACUUUCUCUUUAUUAAUCACGUCAUAACAAUGUCCUCAUAUUAUCUGUAAUAGCAUUGUAUUGUAUUGUAUUUGAGUCCUGAUCUCUUUUUGUCGCAAGAGUUAAUGAGGUUCCCCCGAGCAUCCACAACUGCAGAGAUUAUAUGGAAGUAACUAGCCGUAUUGGUAGGUUCGUUUUGGAAGUUAAUGUUGAACCAUAUGAACUCCUUGGGAUUGUUUAUUUUGUGGUUGCAGAAUCAGAGACCCUUUUUGUUGCUCUUGAACGCGAGAUCUUUUUCUGGGUUUAUUAACUUCAAUUUCAAUGACAGCAAAGUUUUUGGUUUAUUUAUUUAUUUAUUUGUUCUGGGUUUUUCUUAAGUUUUUGGUUUAGAUGGCUUUCAUGUUUAGAGUCCCGUAAACUGUAGGCCACAUGUAGUUCUCUAUUUGACAAUCAUAUUUUUGGCGUUACAAGCAUCAGGUCCUUAAGUAACAGGAAGUUCUUAUCUAAAAGCUGAACAUUUUAUAUAUAGACACAAAAUUACACAAAUAUACGGAGAAAACACUCAUUUGAUCUAAAAUAAAUACAAAUAUUAUAAGAUAAAAAAAAUACUAUAUAUACAAUUUGAUAAUAUAGGUGUAACAUAAAUUAUUAUAUACAAUCUCGAGGUUGCGAAGUAGUUAUAACUAAUAUCACUUCUACAUUUUUCCCGAGUCAAAGAAAUACCGUAAGGGAGGUAUCUACUUUCCGCCUGUAUUUUAAAAUAUUUAAUGUAUAUUUAUAAAUUUUAAUCUUCAACUUUUUUUAGAUAAUAUAUUAAUUUAAUAUUUCAAACAAAUAAUGAGAUUUUAACAUAUUUUGCCUACCGGAUCAAACAGUACUUCAAAUAUCUCUAAUUUAUUAGAAACCUUUUUGAUAAAUUUUUACAAAACAAUUUAAAAACUUAUGUUUUUAAAUAAUAAGAUAAGAUAUAAUCAUUAAAAAAAUAUUAUAUAUUCAUUAUUUAGCAGUAAGUAUCUGAAAAUAAAUUUAGCUAAAUCAUGAGUGACAUAUUUUUUUUCUUUUUUCAACGCAAACUCUAAUAAAAAUCGUUAAAACCCUAGCCCAAAAAAAAAAACAAUUAAAUACGAUUUAAUAAAAACUCCUUAAAACCUUAGCCCAACGCAUCUAUGCUAUACUAUUAAAGCCGAAACAUUAAAAGUUUGGUCAGUCGGUACGCGGGCUUUUAUACGGGCUUUUAUAAUUAGCAGGCUUCAAACAAAAUUAGUGGGCUUCAAACAAAAUAUAAACAAAUCAAAAUAUAAAACAAAUAUACGAUCAAAACAUAAAACAAAUAUAAAACCUAUUUGACUAUACCACAACUAAAAUCAAACCUUAAAAAAUAUUAUAUUAUUACAGCCGAAGCAUUAAAAACUGUGUUGAACCUCGGUUACAAAUGUGUUGAAUGCACGAUUUAUUUACACGUUAUUUUUAAAACUUUGAUGUUUUUUCAAUAAUUUUCAAUAUGGGCCUAUCUAUAUACCGAUUAUUCUUUUUAACUAAAAUAUGUUAUUUUUUUUAUAUUUUCUAAUUAAAAAAACUCUAUUAUUUAAAAUAACAUCGAAAAACAUAGUAAUUAUCUUUUUAACUAUAACACAUUAUCAUUUUUAUAUAUUCUGACUAAAAAACAGAUACAAUUAACACGGGCUACAUAUAUCAUAAUUUUAUUCUCACAAUAAUAAUAGUUUACUAUACUAUUAAAGCCGAAACAUUAAAAAUUUGAUCGGUCGGUAGUUGGGCCAAAUUAUGGGCUUACUUAUAUAAUCAAUUAUCUUUUUAACUAAAUCUAUUAUCUUUUUUUGUAUUUUCUAACUAACAAAACUCAAUUUCCAAAAAUAAUAUUGGACAACAUAGCAACUAGUCAACUACCCUUUUUAACUAAAAAAUGUUAAUUUUUCAGAAUCCUAACUUAAAAAUCGAUUUUCCAAAAAUAACACAUGAAACAUUCAUAUAAAAAAGAUAUUAUAUAUCUAGAGAAGUGUUCUGGUACAAACUUACAAAUGUUUUUUGUUCAACACAUACAUAUAACUCGAGUUCAACAUUUUUUAAGAUAUUUUGUUGAACAUUGAUUUAAAUUGUGUUGAAGUAGUACAUAAACUAAUUUCUCAAUGUAAGAACUAAGUUAAACGUAUUAUAUAACCAAUAUUUAUCUUUCUAGACUCUACCCAAACCCCAGAGAUAUAGUUUAACCAUCUUUAUAAAUAUAUUCAACACAAUGAUAAUUAAUGUUCUACACCCAAUGGUGAACCUCGGUUACAAAUGUGUUGAAUGCACGAUUUAUUUACACGUUAUUUUUAAAAACUGUGAUGUUUUUUCAAUAAUUUUCAAUAUGGAUACUUUCGAUAACUAAAUAUUAACACGUUUGGAGAAUAAAAACAUUCAAAAAAAAAAGUUUGUAACUUAAAAAAUAUUUUAUUUGAUCAUAUUCUAUAUAUCUAUAUUAUUAUACUAUUAAAUCCGAAACAUUGAAAGUUUGGUCGGUCAGUACUUGGUCAAAAUACGGGCCUAUCUAUAUACCAAUUAUUCUUUUUAAUUAAAACUAGCUUAUAGCCCGUGCAAGGCACGGGAGCUUUUUAAUUAUUUAUAAACCUUUUAAAUACAUUUUAAAUGGUGUGAAAAAAUUUAAUUUAUAAAUAAUAAAUUAAAAUUGUAUGUAUCAUGCCAAAGUAUUAAAUUAUUAUCAAUUUUUAAAUUAUUUUAAGUAAAAUAUGUGACGCCAACUCUUAUUAGAUUAUAUUUAUAAAUGUCUUUUUAUAUUAGAAUUAUUAUGUGAUUAAAAUAUUUUUUAAAAAAUUUUUAUGGUUCGAGAUUAAAAUUGAUAAACACAGUUUGUUUUGAAUUAAGACGAUGAAUCAUAAACAUGUAAUAAGAUUGUAGAAUUUGUUUUGGAUUAAGAAAAUUUUUUUGUAUUCGUUCCUCACAUAAAUCGGGCUUAUUAAUUUUAGAAUAUAUUAGAUAAAAAUAAUUUUGUGACGACGCGAUUUAUAUGAUUCUACAAAUAAAAUUGGUAGAAAAUAUUUAUUUUCGAUUAAAAAAAAUCAUAAACAGGUGAAAUAUAGAAUUUGUUUUGGAUUCAGAAAAGGAAUUAUAAACAUGGAAUUAUAAACAUGCAAGUAGAUAUCAAUUGUCUUAUGGAACGGAAGUUAAUUUUAUUCUAAUCUAACGGUGCUUAUUUGUUCAAUAUACGAUCCGAUGGAUAAAUCUAAUUUUGUGACGGUGCGAUUUAUACGAUUCUACAAUUAAAAUUUGUAGGAAAUAUUUUUUUUGUAUUAAAAAAAACCAAAAACACAUGAAAGACGGAAUUUGUUUUGGAUUCAGAAAAGGAAUUAUAAACAUGCAAGUAGAUGUCAGUUUCCUUAUAGAACAAAAUUUAAUUUUGUUCUAAUCUAACGAUGCUUAUUUGUUCAAUAUACGAUCCAACGGAUGAUAAGCUUUUGGACCAUAAGACCAUGCGACCAAAUUAUCUCCCUUACGCUUAUUAUAUAUAAGUAUAUAAUAUGUUAUCUUUUUUUAUAUUUUCUAACUAAAAAAACUCCAUCAUUUAAAAUUAUAUGGAGAAACAUAGUAAUUACCUUUUUAACUAAAACACAUUAUCUUUUUUAUAUUUUCUAACUAAAAAACAGAUUUUCUACAAUUAACAUGAGCUACAUAUAUAAAAAUAUAAUAUUAUUAUAUAUAAUUAUUAAUAACUAACCUGUGAUAUUUUUCAACCAAAAUACAUUAACAUUAUUUUUAAAUACACUAAUGGACUCAAUUUAAAAAUAAUAUUAUAAAUCUAUAAUAUACUAUUAUACUGUUAAAUUCGAAACAUGAAAAGUUCAGUUAGUCAGUAGGUCUGUCGAAUUUGGUGAGCCAUGUGGUAUACGACCCACAACGUCUUUAUUUAUAACAUGUUGUAAUAUAUUUUUUAUUAUCAAUUAAAUUACCAAAACAUUUAAGUUAGUAUGAUGGGUCGGUAUUUAGUUUUACGCGUCUUUUUUAACUUAAUAUGUUCCAUACUAUAUUAUAAAGGGGUUUUCUCAUAAAUACCUAAGUCCAAAAUUAUUUUUGCAAAAUUACUACAUUUUUUGGAAAAAUUAUCAAAUUUUUGAAAAUAUUUGCAAAAAUACUGUAUGCAACCUGUUGCCACCACAUGCAACGAUACUUGCAACCAGAUGCAACCAUAUUUGCAACUCCUGGAGGCCAAUUAACUAAAGUUGCACCUGUUUGCAUCUAGCUUCAGACCGUAUUUUUGCAAAUAUUUUCUAAAAAGUUAGUGUUUUUAUAAUUUUCUUAAAAUAUAGUAAAAUCGCAAAAAAAUUUAGAAAAUGUAAUAUUUUUAAUAAAUUCUCUAUUAUUAAUUAUCAAUAACGAAAUAUUAAAAGAUUGAUUGGUUUAUUUAUAUCUGAUUUUAUAGAUCUCUCUAAAUUAUAACAUGAAAAACAAAUGUAUUUUAACAUUCUCUGUAAAAUAUAUAUGUUCGACCUAAUUUUUUAUUAGCCAUUUGACGAAAUUAACUAUUAAGAAUUUAUCAUUUGUUAAAUAUAAAAUUUAUUUAAUCAUAUUAUUCUAUCAUAAUUUUACUCUCAAAAUAAUAUUAGUUUAAGUUAAAAUAUAUACGAUAAAAUUACAAAUAUUAUAACCGCCCGUGCAUUGCACGGGUUAUAAGCUAGUGUAAGUUGUGAAUUAAAUAAUUAAUGUCGUCUCUAAUAAAAUUACUUAAAACUCUAGCCCAAGCCCAUGUAAGCUAUGAAUUAAAUAAUUAAAAGUGCUCUAAUAAAACUCCUUAAAACUCUAACUCAAACUCAUAUAAGCUAUGAAUUAGACAAUUAAACGCGCAUGGCCCAAGCCCAUGUAAUCCGUUCUAAUAAAACUCUUUAAAAUCCUAACCCAAACCCAUAUAAGCUAUAAGCUAUAAAUUAAAUAAUUUAAAGCGCUCUAAUAAAACUCCUUAAAACCCUAGCCCAAGCCCACAUAAGCUUUGAAUUUAAAUAUUAAACGGGGCUACUACAUUUCAAUUCAAACUUGUGAUUUACGCCAUUUUCUCAAAUGCCUGCGGCGGCUACUAUUCUGUAUUUCUGUAUAGUAAACCCUUUUUCUUGAUUAAAAAUCAACCCAUGACGAAGAAGCCUGUGUGGUAAUCUCAUUCUGUUAGUUAUACAUGCAUCAUUUUGUUUUUUACACACACAUAGAGUGAUGAUUUGCUAAAAAGAUUGAAUUUUUCAGGUGGAUGCAUUCACAGAAUCAGCGUUCAAGGGAAACCCAACUGCAGUUCAAUUGGUGGCCACUGAGUUCAAUCUAUCUGAGAGACAUGUUUCUUCACUAGGAUUGACUUGGAUUCGUCUUCACCUCAGAUGGUUCACUCCUGUUGCCGAGGUUCACUUGCUUUUGAUUCUUGUCUUAUUUUUUAGGUUUUUAUGAUUCCCCCGGUGUUGAAUUUUGGACUUGUGUAUUGGGUUUGUGUAAAGAUUUGAUCUUUUUGGUGGUAGUGGUCUUGAAUUGAAUUUGUUUAUUGGUCUUGUGUAGUGGGUUUGUGUAAAGAUUUGAUCUUUUUGGUGUAGCAGUCUUGAAUUUGAUUGGGGCAAAACAAAGUUAAUUUGGACAUUCAAGGGGAAGUAAUAACGAAGAUGUAUGAUAUGCAUGUCAAACCCCUUUGUUGCCAAGGUUCAGUUACUAUUGAGUCUUGUUCAUCGUUUUAGUUUUUCUGAUGCACACACUGGUUUCAUAUUUGAUCCAUUUGGAGCUUGUUCAUUAAUCAUCGCUAUUCUACUUUGUGACGUAGUAUUUUGUGAAUUCAGGCAUCAACUAGAGGUGGCAUCAUAAAAUUACAUUUAGAUGAGAGGAAUCAAAGGGUAAUGCUCCAAAGGAAAGUUGUUAUUGUGAUGGAAGGUUCUCUCCUAGUUUAUAUAUGGAGGUAUUCCUAGAAUCUUGAGAUCAUUAUAUUGUAUCUGUAGCAGUUUACUUAACAAGUUUUUUUACCAUUUACUGCAUAUAUUUUUUGAUGAACAUUGAACACUACUUUCUUAAAUGUGUUGUUGAUAUGCGUUUCGUGCUAAUGAUUAUUGAUAAGUAGUACUUUUAUAGUUCUCUUCGAUAGAUUGCUUGCAAUUAUCUAGUUGAUUAAUUAAUGCAGCGUAUUCAUGUACAGAGUUUGUUAAGUAUCAACUCAGUGGAGGUAGUUAGGUGUUAAAGUAAAUUCCUUGUCAUCAUGUACAUACGUGGUUGUUCAAAUUGUGCAAGAUAGGACUUAAAAGAACUUUUUCUUUGAGCUAAUUACCUGCACCCACAAUGUUCCCUUAAUUGCCAGAAGAAAAACAUAAUAAGAGUUGCUCGAUGAAAAAUUCCCAUGUUAUAACCGAUUGCUUUGCUCGUAAGGUUUGAAACCAAAUGUUCUAUCCUAGUGCAAUGUUGCAUAUAUAGGUCAGUAAGUUGAGCCCCAAAUAAUAUAUGUCAGUAUUAAUUAUGACACCCACAAGCGAAACACUAAUCAGAUUACGGAAACCUUUAUAUUCCGGGGGUGGUGUGGGCAUACCGUGACUAGACUCUGAUGACUCAACUCUGAACAUGAAAACAAAUAAGAUGGUAUUUUGUAGGCACUGGAUGUACGAUUAUGAAGUUCCAGUUCCCUAACUCCAGUGUUUGAUAUGUUUUUAACCCAAAUAUCUAUAUCUGAAUAGAGAUGUAGAGGCAGAUCAUUAGGAAUGCAAAGAAUAAACUCUAAUAUGAGACCAUUACGAGAUAAAAUAAUACUGCUGACGGUUCUUGAAAAUUCAUAUAGUUUAGUUUCUCUACUUCUGAAAGAAAACCUCUGAGAAAGCCGGUUGAAGAAAAGGUCAUCAAAAACUAGGUGUGUGCGCAUUUCCCAUUUACCCCUCCAUCUUUUGAGAGUAUGCUCAUUCUUGUUACACAGUCAACUGGUAAUCGCUUUUGAAUAAGGUCUAGUAAGUCGCUAGGCAUGUCACUGAUAAUAUCAACCGCGUCUUAACAAUCAAGCCGUCUUGUGUUAGCAAUACUAGUCAUAUUUCUGAAUAUUAGAAGAAGUAAGAACCAAACUGAAAAGAUGUACAAACAAUAAUACUAUAAUAUAAAUAUAAUUAAGUAUAUUUGUAGUGGCCAACCGGGUAGUAGCAAUUAAUCAAAUUUAUCGUAGCACAGAAUUUAAAGAACAUUAUAUCCAUAAGAGCCAUAUAUGUAAAUAAUUCAACUAAACCAUUAUCACAUUUGGAAAAAAGUGGCAAAUCAUUUUCGUAUAUAUUAGCGAAAGUUUAACAGUUAAUUAAAACCCCUAAAUCAAAGAUAGAAAAAGAUUAUGUGAGAUCAACAUACAUAAAAACAUUGAUUUAUUCAAAAAGUUGAUUCACACACACACACACAAACAUAUAUUUAAACAUUUAUAUAUUUGAUUCAUGUAUUGGUGGGAGUGAGACAUUAUGAGUGCGGUGGAAUGAGGAAAGAAAUGUGAGGAUUAGUGAUACAACCCUAAUUCUUAAUUAUGUAAUCUAUAUAACGAUGUCGUGUAAUAAGUUGACUGCAAGAUAUUUGCAUAUGCUAAAAAACCGUAUCGUGUGGAACAGAACAUUCUAAAAUGGCUAAACACAACACCGUUUAAGGAUAAUAUUUACAAAUCAAUUCUUUUUUUUUAUUUAUUUCCAUUUUAGGGGCAGUAUGCUGAUACUUGUGUACAGGGAAACAACUAUCAACAUAUGUAGACAUUCCCCUGCCUAAAUAACAACCCUCCUCCAAAAUGGAAAUAAAUAUAAAAAGAAAUGAUUUGUAGAUAUUAUCCUUAAACGAUGUCGUGUUUAGCCAUUCUAGAAUGUUCUUUUUCAUAUGAUGCCGUUUUCUAGCAUAUGCAAAUAUUUUGCAGUCAAAUUAUUACACGACGUCGUUAUAGAGAUUACAUAAUUAAGAAUUAGGGUUGUAUCGCUAAUUCUCACAUUCUUUCUCACUCCGCCGCGCUCAUGUUGUCUCACUCCCAGCAAAGGUAUCAAAUGUUUAUAUAUAUUUAUGUGUGUGUGUGUGUAUUUGAAUCAUUGUUUUUUUUGAAUAUAUCAAUGUCUUUAUGUAUGUUGAUAUCUCACAUAAUAUUUUUUUCCAUUUUUGCUUUAAGGGUUUUAAUUAAUUGUUGAACUUUCGCUAAUAUAUAUGAAAAUGGUUUUGGCACUUUUUUCCAUAUGUGAUAAUGGUUUAGUUGAAUUGUUUACAUACUCGGCUGUGAUGCAUAAAUGUUCAUUAAAUUCAGUACUAUGAUAAGUUUGAUUAAUUGUUACUACCCAGUUGGUCUUUAUAUAUUGUAGCAUUACUGUUUGUAAAAUUCUUUUCAGUUUGGUUCCUACUUCUUUUAAGUAUUCAGAGAUAUGCCCAGUGAUGCUAACACAAGGCGGCUUGAUUGUGGAGACGCAGUUGAUAUUAUCAGUGACCUGCCCAGUGACUUAUUAGACCUUAUUCUAAACCGAUUGCCGGUUGACUGUGUAGCAAGAAUGUGCAUUCUCUAAAAAUCAUGGAGGGGUAAACGGGAAAUGCACCCACACUUAUUUUUUGAUGACCUUCUCUCCAACUGGCUUUCUCGGAGGUUUCCUUCCAGAAGUAGAGAAACUAAACUAUAUAAAUUUUCAAGAACUUUUAUCAGUAUUCUUUUAUCUUGUAGUGGUCUCAUAUUGAAGUUUGUUCUUUGCAUUCCUAAUGAUUUGUUUCUUCAUCUCUAUUCAAAUAUAGAUAUUUGAAUUAAAAACGUAAGAAACAAUGGAGUUAGGGAAGUGCAACUUCAUAAUCGUACAUUGAGUGCCUACAAAAUACCAUCUUAUUUGUUUUCCGGUUCAGAGUUGACUUGUUUAAUUCUAAGUUACUGUAUGCUCACACCACCCCCUAAAAUUGGAGGCUUCCAUAAUUUGAUUAUUGUUUCACUUGUGGGUGUCAUAAUUACUAUUGCCAUAUCAUUUGGGGCUCAACUUAUGGACCUACAUUUACAACGUUCUCAGAUAUUAUUGCGGGAGAAGAUGAUCAUCACCUACCACCUUACAAUCCAAAACAUUAGAUUGCGCAUCGUUUAUCCUCUUUUUCUUCUUAACCAUCUAGUGUUUUAAGACCUAAACGCUAUUUCCUGUAGAUUUUUUCAGGUGGAUGCAUUCACAGAAUCAGCGUUCAAGGGAAACCCAGCUGCAGUUUGUUUGUUAGAAGAGGAAAAAGGUGAGAAAUGGCUACAAUUGGUGGCCACUGAGUUCAAUCUCUCUGAGACAUGUUUCUUGACUAGGAUUGACUUGGAUUCGCCUAAUCCCAGGUUUCAGCUCAGAUGAUUCACUCCUGUUGCUGAGGUUCACUUGCUCUUGAUUCUUGUCUGUGUUUUUUGGGGUUUUAUGAUUCCCCGGGUGUCAAAUUCUGGUCUUGGGUAUUGGGUUUGUGUAAAGAUUUGAUUUUUUUGGUGGUAGCGGUCUUGAAUUGAAUUUGUGUAUUGGGGUUGCUUAAAGAUUUGAUCUCUUUGGUGUUAGCAGUCUUGAAUUUAACAUGGGGCAAAAUAAAGUUGAUUUAGACAUUCAAGCGGACGUAAUAACAAAUAAGUAUGAUAUGCAUAUUAAAUCCCUUUGUUACUGAGGUUCAGUUACUAUUGAGUCUUGUCCAUCUUUUUGGUUUUUGUGAUUCCCCGGAUGUCUAAUUUUGAUCUCGUUAGUAGCUCAUUUAUCUGUGUAUUGGGUUGACGUAAAGAUUUGAUCUUUUUGGUGUUACUGGUCUUGAAUAUGAAUUCGGGCAAAAUAAAGUGUUUUAAAAAAGUUAGUUUGGAGUUUGGACACUCAAGCUGAAUAUUCCCGCAAAGAUGGCUUUUCGAGUAAAUUAAGUAUGAUAUACAUAUUAAACCGCUUUAGUAAUAAUUUAAAAUUCUAGUGGAUUUGGUAACUUAAUAGAUAUUAUGUACUUUCAAUAUGUUAUUGCUUUGCUUAUGGAAUAGGUAAAGCAUGAAUAACCACGUCUUUUCUUAAUUAUGCCAUAUCACUGCUACUUUGUCAGUUGUCAUUUUACUUGAAUGUUGAAUAAAACAUGCAUAAUUAGACUAUGUUUUAUUGGAUAGCCACAGGUGGUGGUUGCUUUAUCUUCCCAUCUGAAACGGGUCUAAGCAAUCAUAUGUGUGAUAGCUAAAACUGAUGAAGAUAGUGGCUUUCUCUAUAUUAAAUUUACCAAUUGCUGGAAAAGUCAUUCGUAGCCGGCUUUUUAUAGUUUACGAAGACUUGCUAGUUUUCAUCUCUAUGCAUGAUGUCUGCUUACAGGUUAAACUUUGUGGCCAUGCAACUUUGGCGGCAUCCCACUUCAUCUUCUCAUCUGGUUUGGUGAAAGUUAAUGUGAUCGAGUUCAUGACACUGUCUGGAGUUUUGACUGCUAGGAGGGUUUCACUGCCUGAAGUUUCUGUAUUAUCACAGUUGAAAAGUGAUGGUUUCUGUAUAGAGUUGGAUUUUCCUGUCGUGCCACUGGUUGAAUAUACUUCUGUUGAGGUGUCAAACAUUUCACAAAGUUUAAAUGGCGCCUCUAUUGUUGACAUCAAGAAAAGGACUACAGAAGAUGACCUCCUUGUAUGUGUUUGGCUUUGCUCUAACAUUUUGUUAAUAUCAUUACCAUGUGGAUACAUUCUUUCUGGAAGUUGUUUAUGAUGGGGCUAACAUAUCUAAACAGUGAAAUGUUAUAUACUAGUGCCAUUGUUUCUUGCUUUGGAAAAGUUAAUAUUUUGUAUUUGAGGAAUGUAAAAGUCAUCUAAAAAUGCAGGUUAUGCUCUCAUCUGGAAAGACUGUUGCAGAAUUACAGCCGAUGUUUGAAAAGAUACAGAAACUUCCUUGCAGAGGAAUGACAGUAACAGCGCUUGCUCCCUCUGAAUCUGGGUUUGACAUAUACAGCCGCUUCUUUUGUCUUAAAUAUGGGAUUAAGGAGGUAAACAUUAAGCUAAAUAUCAGGAUUCAUUUAUAAUUUUCGAAACAUUUGGAGUUUUCUCAUAGUCUUGCUACACUUGGUAUGUGGUAGUCUCUUCAUAACCUGUCUACCUUCCGGAUACAUUCUUGUCUUUCUUUUCCUAUGUGUAGAAUUCGGAUAUUCCAUUUGGCCUCCACCCGCCUUUCAUUAUAGUUCAUUUGCUAGAUUAUUUGUAUAAUGUUGAAUCCAAAACUAAAUUUAAAUUGUCUAUCCUUAGCCUCCUUGCUUCUUAUUGUCUGUGGAUAUACAGGCACGUGCUGUUUUAAGGGUGAAAUUUAGUUGAAUCCGGGUUUUCGAUAGAGGUGCUAGUUUUUAUGUCCUGUCUUCCCCUAUAGACUAUAGUUACAUGCACCAGGUCAAUAACUAAAGAAAGAGCUUAUCUAAAAGUUGAACAUCUGUCCUGAGUGCUGGGACUUGAUACAAUCGGUAACCUCUUUAAUGCGUGCAAUUUUAUUUCAGGAUCCUGUCACAGGCAUUGCACGUUGUGCCUUGGCACCCUUUGGUGCCAAAAGCUGGGAAAAAGUGAUCUUGUUGCAUAUCAGGUUAUUGUUCUUAGUGCUCACUGCUCACUCUCUGCCUAACUCUAUCAAAUGUGUAUGCACACACUGAUUUCAUAUUUGAUCCAUUUGGAGCUUGUUCAUUAAACUCACUAUUCAACUUUGUGAUGUAGUAUUUCGUGAAUUCAGGCAUCAACAAGAGGUGGCUUCAUAAGAUUUCAUCUAGAUGAGAGGAAUCAAAGGGUAAUGCUCCAAGGGAAAGCUGUUACUGUGAUGGAAGGUUCUCUCCUAGUUUAAAUAUGGAGGUAUUCCUAGAAUGCCUAAAAUGAACUGGGAGCUAUUCAUAAUUAAAACAUCAGAAUCUUGAGAUCAUUAUAUUGUGUCUGUAACAGUUUACUUAACAAGUUUUUAUAGCUAUUUCUUGAUGAACACUAUCUUCUUAAAUGUGUUGUUGAUAUGUGUUUCGUGCUAAUGAUUAUUGAUAAGUAGUACUUUUAUAGUUCUCUUAGAUAGAUUGCUUGCAAUUAUCUAGUUGAUUAAUUAUUGCAGUUGUGUUCACUCUUCAGAGUCACUGAAACUAAAUUGAGUUGGUAAUCUGUUUGUUGGCCUGACAAGUAACAUAAGUGAGUAUUUAUGAGUCAUUUUAUUCAACAUGUUCAAUAUAUCUAUUGCGAAGUAUUGUGCAAAGUAUGGAAAAUCGUAAAUAAUACUGGCAAAAUUGUGCCAAUAUUAUUCAGAUCACUUAACUUCACUUAUUACCGAAAGAAAGCCGUUGAUGAUUAUAUUCUUGCCAAGAUUCAUAUAUUUUUGCUGAUUGUAUACUAGUUUUUAGAAUAUGAAUUGAUAUUGAAUUGAUAUUAUAUUUAAUAAUUGGCAUUUCAUUUAAAAUGAUAGUAUAAUUUUGAUUUUGAAUUUGGAAGGUUAAUUUUGAAUAUUUAGAAAUUAUUUCAAGAAUUUAGUCCGAUAGUCCUAUGUAAUAUGUGUCAGUUCCUUUUUGUAUGUAUUAAGACUUAUGUCAAAUGUAAUUAUAAAAGAGUUUUUGUAUUAUUAUAUGUUGGUAGUUAAUUUUUGGGAUAUUUUUAAAAAUACCCAUCUGUAAAAUUAUUUUUUUAAAAAUACUACCAUCUUUUUCAUUGUUUUUAAAAAUACCUUUUCAUAAAUUUUUUUUUUCAAAAAUACGAUUUGCAACCUUUGCAACCUCAUUUGCAACCUUGGGCGGCGCAGCCGUAAAAGUUGCAAAUGAGGUUGCAAAAGUUGCAAAUAAAAAUGGAAAUGAGGUUGCAAAAGUUGCAAAUGAGGUUGCAAAAGUUGCAAAUAAAAAUGGAAAGUUGCAACAGUUGCAACUGCAAUUGCAACUAGUUCAACUGAAAACUGUAAGUUGCAAAAGUUGCAAAUGAGGUUGCAAAAGUUGCAACUGAGGUUGCAAAAGUUGCAACUGCAGUUGCAAAAGUUGCAACCUCAGUUGCAACUAAAUGCAACUGAAAACUGUAAGUAACAACAGAUGUAUGGUGUGCCCCUGGCGGGGCCGGUAGAUUACAAUAGAAUCAACUGAAUGCAACCAUAUGCAACUGAAUACAACCAUAUGCAACCAUAUAUGCAAUUACAAAUCCUGAUUUCAAGUUCCAGUUUUCGAAUGUCGUUUUCGACCUCAUUUUCGGAAUCGAUAUAUAUAUAUAUAUAUAUAUAUCUGUUCUGAUAUAAAGUCACUAUUCUCGUUAAAACUGCCUUUUGGUAGUUCUGAUAUAGUGACUCAAUAACUCAAUGAUUAAAGGCAGAAUUAAAUAGAUACUCUAGAAGCAAUGUAAAACACUUUUAUAUGAACGGUUUCAGAAAAAAGAUUAUUGAAAAUUUAGAUAUAAAACUGCUUUUACUACUCCCUUUGGUCACUAUGAAUGGAAUGUAGUUCCAUUUGGACUUAAAAAUGCCCCUAGUGAAUUCCAGAAUAUCAUGAAUAAUAUAUUUAACCCCUUUAGCCAUUUCUCAAUAGUAUAUGUAGAUGAUGUUCUUAUCUAUUCUAAUUCUAUUGAAGAACAUUGGAAACAUCUGAACUCUUUUUUCAAUACAAUUAAGACUAAUGGUCUAGUACUAUCACCAACUAAAUGUGUCUUAUUUCAGACAAAAGUAAGAUUUUUAGGUCAUACCAUUCAGUAUGGGAAAAUUAGACCAAUAGAUAGAUCAAUUGAAUUUGCUAGUAAAUUCCCAGAUGAAAUACUUGACAAAACCCAACUCCAAAGAUUUCUAGGAUCACUCAACUACAUAGGAGAAUUUUAUAAAGAUCUUAGGAAGCAAUGUAAACCAUUAUUCGAACGAUUGCAAAAUAAUCCCCCGCCUUGGACUUCUAUCCAUACUUCUAUUGUCCAAGAUAUUAAAAAAUAUGUUAAGACUCUUCCCUGUCUUGGCAUUGCUAAUCCUUCUGCAUUUAAAAUAGUAGAAACCGAUGCCUCUGAAGUUGGAUUUGGAGGUAUUCUUAAACAAAAAUUAAACCCUUCUUCACAUGAAGAAAUUGUUUGUUUUCAUUCAGGAGCUUGGGAUCAAACCCAACAAAAUUAUUCAACCAUUAAAAAAGAAAUUUUAAGCCUUGUCUUAUGCAUCAAUAAAUUCCAGCAUGAACUUUUAAAUCAAAAGUUUUUAGUCAGAAUUGAUUGCCAGUCAGCAAAAUUUAUUUUAGAAAAAGAUGUUCAAAAUAUUGCAUCAAAACAGAUUUUUGCCAGAUGGCAGGCUUUAUUAAGCAUAUUUGAUUUUGAUAUACAAUACAUUAAAGGAAGUGAAAAUUCUAUUCCAGAUUUUCUAACUAGAGAAUUUCUACAAACAGGAGUGAAAGAUGAGUGUGAGAGAUAACAAUAGCCAGGUUAUUAUAUAUAUAUAUAUAUAUAUAUCGAUUCCGAAAAUGAGGUCGAAAACGACAUUCGAAAACUGGAACUUGAAAUCAGGAAUUUGGUUGCAUAUGAAGUUGCAAAAGAGGUUGCAACACGGCUGGCGCCGCCUGGAGUUGCAGAUGAGGUUGCAAAAGUUGCAAACAGUAUUUUUGAAAAAAAGAUUUUAUGAAAAGGUAUUUUUAAAAAGAAUUCUGGAAGGUAGUAUUUUUGUAAAUAAUUAAAGAAAAGGUAGGUAGUUUUGUAGAUUUCCCUUAAUUUUUAUAGCUAACAAAUUUCAAAAAUAUAUAUUAUUUGCACAUACAUCUUCAGAACAUAUUACAUAAAUAAGCUGCUCCAGAGCUCUUCAUCCCAAACAUGACGAUGACUAGGAAAGAGAAAAAAAAAUUCCAGUUCACAUUUCGAACCUGCUGGACAAGUAAGUUUUCUUUUAAUUUUCAAACAUGGAUUAACUUCUUAUUCAUUCAUUUACUUUUGUGAUGUAAUUGGAUCAAAUUUUUUGUAUAUAAUCCCAUGUGAAGCAAACACAUGAAUUUAGCUCUAUACAUUUCAGGCCUGGUUCUCAUUUCUAUGUAUACAACUUGGAUAGUUUUAUGAUUAAUAUGCUCGAUAUGAUACCAUGAUUUGAUAUUGCGUUUGUUAAGUGUUUAAUAAAUGUUAUCCAAACUAAUUGCCUCUAGUUGGUCAUGAUGUAAUUCGAUAUUCAUAAGUUGUUUUUGAUAUCAAUAAUCAAAUUUGAGUCGAUAUGUGCAAGAGAUCGCUGUGAAUAUAUGCGUAACAGGUCACUGUGAAAUGUAAUAAGUGUGAGUGAAGUAUGUUUGAAUUUAUAACUCAAAUCCAAUGAUUUUAAUUGCUAAUUUAAGAAUGGAAUGGUACUGUUUAUGUCAAGUGUUCAUUUUCUUCGUAUAUGUGUACAACUUUAAUAACAUGUCUUAAUGCUAUGAAGUAUUAUACUAUUAUUCCACCAAGUCCAAGAGUAAUUCCUUUUCCUUAGAAUUUUCAAUAGCUUCCCGGGGGCGAAGAAGGCUUAUUAAUAUACAGAUUUUGUUAAGUAUCAGCUCAAUAGAAGUAGUCAGGUGUUAAGUAAAUUCCUUGUCAUCAUGUACAUACGGGGUUGUUCCAAAUUGUGCAACAUAGGACUAAACAGAACUUUUCCUUUGAGCUAAUUACCUUCAAGCGCAAGGUUCUCUUAUUUGCCAGAAGAAAAUAAUAAGAGUUCCUCGAUGAAAAAUUCCCAUGUCAUAAUCGAUUGCUCCACUCGUAAUGUUUGAAACCAAAUGUUCAAUCACUCUACAAUGUUGCAUAUAUAGGUUAAGCUGAGCCCAAAUGAUGUCAGUAUUAAUUAUGACACCCACAAGCGAAACACUAAUCAGAUUACAGGAAACCUUCCUAUUUCGGGGGUGGUGUAGGCAUACAGUGACUUAGAUCAGAUGAGUCAAUUUUGAACAUGAAAACAAAUAAGAUGGUAUUUUGUAGGCACUGGAUGUACGAUUAUGAAGUUUCACUUCCCUAACUCCACUGUUUGAUAUGUUUUUAAUCCAAAUAUCUAUAUCUGAAUAGAGAUGAAGUGGCAGAUCAUUAGGAUUGCAAAGAAUAAACUUCAAUAUGAGACCUCCAAGAGAUAAAAGAAUACUGCUGCCGGUUAUUGAAAAUUCAUAUAGUUUAGUUUCUCUACUUCUGAAAGGAAACCUCUGAGAAAACCGGUUGAAGAAAAGGUCAUCAAAAACUAGGUGUGAGUGUAUUUCCCAUUUACCCCUUCAUGUUUUUGAGAGAAUCCUCAUUCUUGCUACACAGUCAACCGGCAAUCACUUUUGAAUUAGGUCUAGUAAGUCACUGGGCAUGUCACUUUUGAAUUAGACCUUAUACCAAAGCGAUUGCCGGUUGACUGUGUAGCGAGAAUGUACAUUCUCUCAAAAACAUGGAGGGGUAAAUGGGAAAUGCACCCACACCUAGUUUUUGAUGACCUUUUUCUUCAACCGGCUUUCUCAGAGGUUUCCUUCCAGAAGUAGAGAAACCAAACUAUAUGAAUUUUGAAGAACCGUCAGCAGUAGUCUUUUAUCUCGUAGUGGUCUCAUAUUGAAGUUUUUUCUUUGCAUUCCUCAUGAUUUGUUUCUUCAUCUCUAUUUAGAUAUAGAUAUUUGGAUUAAAAACAUAACAAACAAUGGAGUUAAGGAAGUGCAACUUCAUAAUCGUACAUUGAGUGCCCACAAAAUACCAUCGUAUUUGUUUUCCUGUUCAGAGUUGACUCGUCUGAUUCUAAGUUGUAUGCUCACACCACCCCGGAAAUUGAAGACUUCCGUAAUCUGAUUACUGUUUUGAUUGUGGGUGUCAUAAUUACAACUGACAUAUCAUUUGGGGCUCAACUUACUGACCUACAUUUGCAAAGUUGCAUUGGGAUUGAACAUUUGAGAAUGGAAAGGCAUUUGUUUAUGUCAAGUGUUCAUUUUCUUCGUAUUUGUGUACAACUUUAAUAACAUGUCUUAAUGCUAUCAAGUAUUAUACUAUUAUUCCACCAAGUACAAGAGUAAUUCCUUUUCCUUAGAAUUUUCGAUGGCUUCCCGGGGGCGUAGAAGGCUUAUUAAUAUACAUAUUUUGUUAAGUAUCAGCUCAAUAGAAGUAGUCAGGUGUUAAGUAGAUUCCUUGUCAUCAUGUACAUACGGGGUUGUUCCAAAUUGUGCAACAUAGGACUCAAAAAAACUUUUUCUUUGAGCUAAUUACCUUCACGCGCAAGGUUCUCUUAUUUGCCAGAAGAAAAUGAUAAGAGUUCCUCGAUGAAAAAUUCCCAUGUCAUAAUCGAUUGCUCCACUCGUAAGGUUUGAAACCAAAUGUUCAAUCACACUACAAAGUUGCAUAUAUAGGUUAGUAAGUUGAGCCCAAAUGAUGUCAGUAUUAAUUAUGACACCCAUAUGCGAAACACUAAUCAGAUUAUAGGAAACCUUCAUAUUUCGGGGGUGGUGUAGGCAUACAGUGACUUAGAUCAGAUGAGUCAAUUUUGAACAUGAAAACAAAUAAGAUGGUAUUUUGUAGGCACUGGAUGUACGAUUAUGAAGUUUCACUUCCCUAACUCCACUGUUUGAUAUGUUUUUAAUCCAAAUAUCUAUAUCUGAAUAGAGAUGAAGUGGCAGAUCAUUAGGAUUGCAAAGAAUAAACUUCAAUAUGAGAC
rnacentral:lncRNA from 1 species